UUUUCAUCUCUUUUGUGCUGAAUUUGUGGAUGUUGCUAUUGUUGUGCUGAAUUUGGAGCUAUUUCUGGUUUGAAUUUCAAUCUGUUGUUGUUGUAUUGCUGUGUUCAUUGCAGGUAAAAUUUUAGGAAGUUAAAUUUGCAUGUUGUUGUUGGUUCUAAUUUAUAUAUCUUGCAAAAAUGCUGACAAGUCAACUAUUUAGUUUGCAAAUUUUUAUUCUGAUUUUUUAUCUUUUACUUGUUCUGUUUUUAUACAUUUUUGUUUUUGGAAGUUUAAUUCUUCUUCUGUUAUGGGGCGAGUUUUGUUUCCUCAUUUUAUUAAUUAAUUAAUUUUUUUGAGCUCAUAUGGAAGGAUUUGUGGAAGGGAAUGCAAUUAAAAAAAUUGGGAUUGGUCUUCUUUCAUUUCAAAAUUUGAUAUUAAAAAAAAUAUUUUAUAUUAUUUUCACUCAAAAUUUUCAUACUGUCUAAAUAAGAACUAUCACUUGCCAACCACAAUACUUGUUAUAGUAUUUAUAAAAAAAAUACUUGUUUCUUUAUUAGCACAGCAAUUGUUCUUUCAUAGUCCAUGACUGGUGGACAUUCUUGGAUUCAAAGAGGUAAAAAAUGUUUUGUGGAAUGGAAUUACUGUUUCUGUAACUAUGGAACUGCUAAAAUUAUGGAUCAUAAAGGGGGUCUACAAGGGUACAAAAAUAUUAGAGUAUUUGAUAGCCGCUCACAUUGUCUUUCUUUGCACAGUAUAUAUGACUUUCUGUUUGUAAACUUUGUGGGAUUGUUUGGGUGAUGGAAUAUGAUGCAACCUGAUUAUGAAACUAUCCAUAGAGGCUGUAAUAUACCCAUGUUGAAUCUAGAUUUAAGUAUGAAAAUAAUUUGUAUGGACUAAAUUAUUAAAAUUGAAAAUGAAAUUUGAGUUAAACUAUAAGAAUAAAAGUUUAAUUUAUUCUUUAAAAAUUUGAUGUUUCUUAAUUUUUCUUGAAGUCAUGAUGAUUUAUAUGCUAAAUUUGGACUAAAGUCUAAUUACAAGAAAGUAAGGUCAUUCUUGUAAUAGUAACUAAGCCUUUAAAUGGAUAGGUAUUUUGGAGAUGAGUAACAGUGAUGAUGAAUGGAAUGAUGAUCACCAUGAUGAAGAUACUAAAGAUGAAGGCAGCACAUUGCAAACCCAACAACAUAAUAAUAAUAUGCUCUUAGCUACGGCGGCAACAGUUGUAGUGACAUAUGCGACAAAUUAUUUGAUAAAAGAACCAUGUAGGUCAUCUAGUUUAACAGGGGGACGUGGAUGGUAGAAUUACAAGAAGGGAAUCGAAGAAGAAUAUUUGAAAAUUUUCGAAUGGAAAGAGAGAUGUUUUAUCAAUUGUGUGAUUUGUUACAGACAAAGUAUGGCCUUAAAACUUGACGAAAAGUCUCGGUUCAGGAGCAGGUUGCAAUAUUUUUGUACAUUGUUGGCGGUGAUAUUCGAAAUAGAAAUGUCCAAGAAAGAUUUCAAAUUUCUAGCAAGACUAUUUCAAAAUAGUUCAAGAAGGUGUUAAAAGUUGUUACAAUAAUGUCUAUUGAUUAGGUAAGGCCUCAAUCGAGAAAUGGUGUGCAUCCAUAUAUUCGAAGCAAGCGCAAAUAUUAUCCUCAUUUUAAGGAUUGUAUUGGAGCAAUUGAUGAAACACACAUCAAAGCAUAUAUAUCUCUAGAUAAGCAACCUCGUUUAAUAGGUAGAAAGGGAUAUGCAACUCAAAACAUAACGGCCGCAUGUGACUUUGAUAUGUGUUUCACAUUUUGCUUAUCAAGAUGGGAAGGAAGUGUACAUGAUACUCGAAUCUUCUUGGAUACAAUUAGAAAUCCUAAUUAUAAUUUUCCAAAACCACGAGGAGAUGAGUUAUAUUUGAUGGAUGUUGGGCAUCCAAACAUGAAAGGAUAUCUUGCACCUUACAAGGGAGAGAGAUACCAUCUACCUCAAUUUGACACAUGGUCAACCCUCUCAAAAUGCACAAGAAAAAUUCAACCAAGCAUAUUCAUCACUUAGAAGUGUAAUAGAAAGAACGUUUAGGGUUUGGAAAGCAAGAUGGCCGAUGAUAAAAGAUAUCCCACCAAACUACAAGUGGCCGACCCAAGUCAAACUUGUUUGUGCAACAAUGGCAAUUCAUAAUUUCAUCUGACGAAGUCAGUUUCGCGAUAUUGCAUUUGACUCUUAUGAUAGAUUCACGGAUUAUGUGCCUAAUGAAGAUGAAGGAUUUUCGUCUCAACAAGCACGCCAUGGAAAUGUGUUGAUUGUGAUGACAAUGAAAUGGAAGUGAGGAGACAUAAUAUUUAUAUGUCAAUUUGCAGACGAAAUUAGAAGAUCUUUAAAUAUUUAGGAAGUUUUAUUUUUAUUGCCUUAAUCGUAAUUAUUGUAUUUUUAUUGCAAUGACAUUUUUUUGUUCUCUUGUCAACUCAAUAUAUUAAAAA